CCCGGCUCUGGAGAAUUUUACUGGAGCCCAAAUUCCUGCCUGAAGUGAAAAGGCAGGUUUUUACUGCAGGUCUCUGCUUCAGUCCUUAUUGCUGUCAAUUGCUGUCCCAGUGACUGUCUGAAAUUAGGCACCUGUGGGACUGGCUGGGGCCUAACAGCCUCCAAUUAACAGAAAGUAGCUGCAAGGAGAUUCAGUGUUUGUUUGUAGAGUCAAGUCGGAAGGAGUAACAAAUAAGUUUUCUUCAGGUAGGAGCUUCUACUUUUAUUAGAGAAAAUACUAGUGUUCCAGUGUGGUGGAAGUAGCACCUAAGAAUCCCAUGGACCAAGAUCAGAUUGUGUCAGGUGCUGUACAAACAUAGAACAAACGGAUCCUGACCUAAAUUCUCCCUCUGAUGAUAGCACUUCCUUUACCUCAGAUGGACCUUGAAGGCAGCUGUGGAUAAAUUCAUCUCAUGUGGCAGAGGAAGAAAGACCAUUUAGGAAGAGGCUGGAGCAGCGAAGGAGAGAUGUGUGGUCCUUGUUUUAGGUUCUUAUGUAUGGCAAUCUACCGGGAACUUGGAGGGAGGAACACAGACUACAGGAAAGAAGAAGUUGGAGGAGACAUCAAGAAGUGACAGAUAAAGAUGGAGUCUUCUCUCUGUGUUCCUUACAUCCCCAAAGGGAUGUCUUCUAAGUCUUACAAGUCAGGAAGGCCUCCUGGAGAUUGUGUCCCCCUCUGGGGUGAAGGAGCCAUCUUAAUUCUUUCUCUCAAGUUCAAGAUCAGGAGAACCCUUGACUGUUCAGCUCAAUGGCUUUGAGUACUGCUAAUAUGUAAACUGAGAUAAACCCACCUUUCUUCGUCUAGGACAGCUCUGUUUAUCAUCUUUACCUAGGACAGGCUGUCUGAUCUUAAACGUGUUCUAGUAACAUCAUACAGGAGGAAUUAAUGACCUCACAUAUUAACACAUCGUUUUACAAUGAUAUUAAUAACCAGUGUGGUGGUAGCUUUCUUACGAUACUUCACAAGGCAUAUUGGUACAGUUGUGUGUACGGUGUGAAUAUAGGGGCGCCUAGGGUCACAGCAACCCAUUAACUUUUUCCCCUGCCAUUACUAGCAUAUGUCAUUUAGGGUAACGUAUCUUUGCAACAUUUUAGUCUGUCACUAAUGACCUUAUUUGAAGCAGCGCUUGAUUUAAGAUUUGAACCUUUAGCAGCAAUUCCUUCUAGUUCCAGCAUAUACCUCAUUUUGAACAAAAUUAAUAUGACUUUAGCCUACAGUCAUAUAAUAAAUCCACAUU